rnacentral:rRNA from 1 species
GGCCCGCACAAGCGGUGGAGUAUGUGGUUUAAUUCGAUGCAACGCGAAGAACCUUACCAGGGUUUGACAUCCUGCGAAUCUCUUGGAAACGAGAGAGUGCCUUCGGGAGCGCAGUGACAGGUGGUGCAUGGCUGUCGUCAGCUCGUGUCGUGAGAUGUUGGGUUAAGUCCCGCAACGAGCGCAACCCACGUCUUUAGUUGCCAGCAUUUAGUUGGGCACUCUAGAGAGACUGCCGGUGAUAAACCGGAGAAGGUGUGGAUGACGUCAAGUCAUCAUGCCCCUUAUGCCCUGGGCUACUCACGUGCUACAAUGGAUAGGACAAUGGGAUGCCACCCUGCAGAAGGCAAGCUAACCCCAAAACUAUUCUUAGUUCGGA